GACAGAGGGUGCAAACGUUGUUCGGAAUUACUGGGCGUAAAGCGAGUGUAGGCGGUUCGAUAAGUCGGAUGUGAAAGCCCCGGGUUCAACCCCGGGAAGUGCACUCGAUACUGUCGAGCUAGAGUAUCGGAGAGGUUGGUGGAAUUCUCGGUGUAGAGGUGAAAUUCGUAGAUAUCGAGAGGAACACCGGUGGCGAAGGCGGCCAACUGGACGAAUACUGACGCUGAGACUCGAAAGCGUGGGGAGCAAACAGG
rnacentral:rRNA from 1 species